rnacentral:rRNA from 1 species
UGGGGAAUAUUGCACAAUGGGCGCAAGCCUGAUGCAGCAACGCCGCGUGAGGGACGACGGCCUUCGGGUUGUAAACCUCUUUUGGCAGGGAAGAAGCGAAAGUGACGGUACCUGCAGAAAAAGCACCGGCUAACUACGUGCCAGCAGCCGCGGUGAUACGUAGGGUGCAAGCGUUGUCCGGAAUUAUUGGGCGUAAAGAGCUCGUAGGCGGUUUGUCGCGUCUGCUGUGAAAACCCGAGGCUCAACCUCGGGCCUGCAGUGGGUACGGGCAAACUAGAGUGCGGUAGGGGAGAUUGGAAUUCCUGGUGUAGCGGUGGAAUGCGCAGAUAUCAGGAGGAACACCGAUGGGGAAGGCAGAUCUCUGGGCCGUAACUGACGCUGAGGAGCGAAAGCAUGGGGAGCGAACA